rnacentral:rRNA from 1 species
CACUGGUACUCGAGUGGCGAACGGGUGAGUAACACGUGGGUGAUCUGCCUUGCACUCUGGGAUAAGCUUGGGAAACUGGGUCUAAUACCGGAUAGGAACCGUCUUUAGUGUGGUGGUUGGAAAGUUUUUUCUGCAAGAUGAGCUCGCGGCCUAUCAGCUUGUUGGUGGGGUAAUGGCCUACCAAGGCGUCGACGGGUAGCCGGCCUGAGAGGGUGUACGGCCACAUUGGGACUGAGAUACGGCCCAG